CCAAAGAGUGGAAAAAAAAUAAUCAUUCCUAAUGUCAUACUGCGAACCUGUUUGAUAUCAUAGGACUCCUCCCAGCCUGAAAACAAAAAUUUCAUUUGUUCACAAUUGAAUCCUUAGUACCUAAAAUAGUCAAGUUGUCUAAAUGAGAAAGUUUGUGCCAGACAUAGUGAUCACACCUAUAAACAUAGCUUCUCAGGAAGCAGAGGCUGGGAGAUCCCACUUGGAUACCGCUCAAAAGGUUAAUGAAAACUCAUCCCAACCAAUAAAAAUAUGGGGAGUAGUGGUAUAACCAAUGUCACUGCAGCAGCACAACACAUAAAUAGGAAGUUCGUGGUCCAGGCUAGCCAGACGUAAAUAGACACUAUCUAAAAAAUAAAACAAAAGGGAAGACAUCUGCAUAGCAAAGCUCUGAGUUCAAAUCACUCUGACUCCAAGAAAAAGAAGGAAUGUUAUCAAUCAUGGAAAGAAUGCUUCUGGGAUUAAUUUUGAGGACAAGGGUUUAAUAAAGAGGCAGAAUAAUGCUCUCUGUUAAUUAUUUCUUUCAUCUACCCUUAGUAAAAGCCAAAUGUAUGUAUUAAGACAUGGCCAGCAAGGCAUCCCUAGGGUUGAACUAAACAGAUGCAACUCAAGCAUGUAUUUCUGGUAACCAAACAUGACCUAGGCAAGGAACAUGCAUGAUCAAUGAGAUCUACAUGAUGAAUAACAGGACAUACAAUAUAGUUUGGUGUAUGUUGGAAACCAAUCAAAAUAAAAAUGUUAGGAAGGAAAAUAAGGAGUUUUGGUCUAGAGAAAGAGAAUUUUAGGGUAAGCAGAAUGCAUACCUGUGUCUGAAAAUCCCCGAGGCACACACAGGCUUUCAACAGUGGGAACACAGCCACGGUGUCAAUAGCCCAGGCAGCUGAGUACAGGGCAAGUCCAUGCUCCCCAUAUCUUACACACAGGGACAAGGCUAGCAGAGUCUCACAGCUGCUAAGAAAUGAACCCAAUAUCCUAAUCCAAAAGAAGGUGACAGUGGGGUUUCAGCACAGCUGUGGGGAAAGGCAAAGAUGAUGGAAGGGCUGACUUUGACUCAUGAUGCAUGAUUGCAAAGAGCACACAAAAGGUCCCAACACCAAGCAGUGAUCUGUUCCUACCACAGGUGUUUCUUGAUUUAAUUGCUCCUAGUUUUAAUGCUGUGGUUUUUUUUGAUCCUACAACCAGUACAUCUACACUUUCAUGGACAUCGGCCAUGAAAUCUUCACCCUUUCCUUGCAAGUUUCAUCUCCCCAGCCUGGGACAUCAUCCUGAGAAAGGGAAUAAAAAUGUGUUACUAAAAUGUGUUCUUGGUACAUUAACCAAGAAGCAAAACAAUGAAGUCCACAGUCCAGACUAGGUAAAAACAGAGCAGCCAGAGUGCACGUAAGAAUGAGAGUUCUAAAGUGAGUCUAGAAAAUAUUAAGGAAUUACAGGGAUGAACUCAACAUGCAAAAAAGGAAAUUAGAUCCUUUGCAAUCAAUAGUAACACAUUUUUAUUCUGGUUUUGGAUUUUUAGUAAACUUACUCCAACAAUUCUGUCUAUAACUGUUUUAUAAGUUAUUUACUUAAUUCCCACUUUAAAAACAUUACCUUCUUUAAGUUUCAUGCUAGAUUUCCAAAUCAGUAAAAAGUACAUUUACACCAGGGUGUGAGGCAGCAUACACCCAAGUGCCCAGUUCCUCAGGAGGCUGUGGAAGGAGGACUGCUUGAUCCCAGGAGCUCAAAACUCAAGUCUGAGCAACACAUUAAAACUUGGUCUCC